rnacentral:tRNA from 1 species
GCAUUGGUGAUANAGUGGUGAGCAUAGCUGCCUUCCAAGAAGUUGACCUNGGUUUGNUUCCUGGCCAAUGCA